CUCCCAGUCCCUUGGAGUUCAUCGGAUGGAUGAUGCGCCGCUGCCAUUUACUUGGAUGAGAAGUUGGACGAACGCUCCUCCAGCUCACGAUACGAAAUGGUGGGAACUACAGUGUGGUGAUGUGUCGUUCACGAACGAACGGCUCUUUUUGAACGGAUCUUUUUGUUGAACCUCGGGAACCGAAUUGCAUCGGUGAAAGAGCCAUUCCUCUGGCUCUAUGAUUUGCAAACUGCUACUACUGCUUGUUGAGAUCAGAACAACGUUUUUCUGUAGAUAAAUUACAACAUCAUUAUCUAAAGGGGUGAAUCCUCACUGCAGAAACAAUAAAUAGUGGGGAGAGAGUUGUGAUUGUAUGUUUGUUUGUACAGUUAUGGCUGUAAUGUUAUUAUUUUGUGUUCUCACUAAACACCCACAUUUGUAUUUGUGUGGGAAAUGUUUGUAGGCUUUGGUUGCUGUUUGUAUUUCAUUGAACUUUAGGCCCAUACAAAGACAAAUCACACAACAUAGAAUUCCAAAUAACCUUAGGCAAAAAUACACGAAAUAAAAGUCAAGUGAAAAUAGUUAUAAAUGACUUUAUCAAUUAUGAGUAGCUAAACAUUAUCGACUUUUGGACACUGAUGCGCAGGAGAACCCCUAGCUGUCAAUCAAGCAGGCGCGGUGAACGGAUUAUGACGCUCAAGCGUUCCAAAUGACGCAACAAUACAGCUCCAGACCAGAGAAAGUUAAUGCCGAGGAUAUUAUUCGGUUCAACACUAAAACUGAGGUUUGACACGUGUGAUUUGAGGCUAGAGCUUGAGGACUCAACUCUGAAGACUGUUUCUGAAUUCACUGACCUGGUGAGUAAAUGUUGUGUACAAUGGCAUCAUCUAGUGACAGAAACAUAGAAACACAGAUUGUUGCUAAAUGAAGGCAUCUCUUUAUUUUCCAGAAAUAAAACUUGUAGACCUUUCCUGCAGUCUCUGAGGAGAUGGACACCUCUUCUUCUUCUGGACGAUCUCCGUCUCCUACUGGGACUGUCUUCUUACCCCCUCCUAUCAUGUGGAACAGUCUGUAAGUCAUUCAUCACAUAACCUAGCUCUGGUCCAGGGCAUUAUGUGCGGCUUGCUGAAGGAAGGCUCAGUGUCUGCAAGCUGUACGUAACGCCCUGGACCAGAGUGACACAUUACCCACCUCUGGCCAUCAUGGACAGUCAACUCAUCACAUUCACGUACUGUAAGUCACAGUUGUGUGAUUUGUGUUAUUAAAGACAGUUAAAUUGAGCAGAAGUUGAAUUAUUAUUUUAAUAUUGUAGUAAAUUGUCUGAGUUCACUUCCUAAAUAAUGUGUUGACAUUCCUUUGCUC
rnacentral:lncRNA from 1 species